rnacentral:rRNA from 1 species
AUGGUUGAAGAUGCCAAAAUUGCUAGGGUGAAUGACAAUCUUGAAAGUUCUUUCACUAUCCACCAUCUGACAGAAGAGAAGAACAAGCUGGAUGCCAACUAUGACAAGCUAGUCCAAGAUGCGCAUGAGCUGAUGAAUUUCCAGGAAGAUAAGGUGGUGGAUUUCAGACAUCUGCAGUCUGCCAUUACAUAUCAGCAGGAGGUAAGAAAAGAACUGAUUGAUGAUAUGAAGGCACAGAUGGCAAGUGAGAUGGCAAAGAAAGAUGAAGAGACCCAGAAACUUACUCUGAAGUAUGAGCUGCUGCUCAACCUGACAAGAGCUCAAGCAACAGUCAUUCAGAACUUGAAGUUGAACAAAAUGAAAGAGAAGCAAGUGCUUACUGAAGCUAGUAUGAAUUUGGAGCUGAAGAAUGCAGAGAUAACAAAGUGUCAGGAGAAGCUCACCCAAGAGAAGCUAGAGUUGAAGUUUCAGGUUGCUGAUCUGCUUAAGGGAAAUGAAAAGCAUAUUGAAGAGAAGUGGCAGUUAGAGUUUCAGAAUGAAAAGUUGAAGGAGAAGUUCAGGGGGAUUCAGGCUAUCUUGGAGAAGUGA